rnacentral:rRNA from 1 species
UACGUAGGUGGCAAGCGUUGUCCGGAUUUAUUGGGUUUAAAGGGUGCGUAGGUGGGAAUGUAAGUCAGUGGUGAAAUCUCCGUGCUUAACAUGGAAACUGCCAUUGAUACUAUGUUUCUUGAAUUUUCUGGAGGUCAGCGGAAUAUGUCAUGUAGCGGUGAAAUGCUUAGAUAUGACAUAGAACACCAAUUGCGAAGGCAGCUGACUACAGGGACAUUGACACUGAGGGCACGAAAGCGUGGGGAUCAAACAGG